GAUGAACGCUGGCGGCGUGCCUAAUACAUGCAAGUCUAGCGAACAGACGAGGAGCUUGCUCCUCUGACGUUAGCGGCGGACGGGUGAGUAACACGUGGAUAACCUACCUAUAAGACUGGGAUAACUUCGGGAAACCGGAGCUAAUACCGGAUAAUAUAUUGAACCGCAUGGUUCAAUAGUGAAAGACGGUUUUGCUGUCACUUAUAGAUGGAUCCGCGCCGCAUUAGCUAGUUGGUAAGGUAACGGCUUACCAAGGCAACGAUGCGUAGCCGACCUGAGAGGGUGAUCGGCCACACUGGAACUGAGACACGGUCCAGACUCCUACGGGAGGCAGCAGUAGGGAAUCUUCCGCAAUGGGCGAAAGCCUGACGGAGCAACGCCGCGUGAGUGAUGAAGGUCUUCGGAUCGUAAAACUCUGUUAUUAGGGAAGAACAUAUGUGUAAGUAACUGUGCACAUCUUGACGGUACCUAAUCAGAAAGCUACGGCUAACUACGUG
rnacentral:rRNA from 1 species